CUGUGUUGACAGCUGCUAAUGAGUGUGUUGGUGUUUUGCUCGGCAGCUUGGAUCCUAGCAUGACUAUACAUUGUGACAUGGUCAUUACAUAUGGAUUAGACCAACUGGAGAAUUGCCAGACUUGUGGUACCGAUUAUAUCAUCUCAGUCUUGAAUUUACUCACGCUGGUAUGUGAAUUAUUCUUUUCCUUUUUAAUGUGUUGGUUUAUUCAGGCCCUUAAAUCGAUAUGUAAGAAAUUAAGGGCUUUGUCUGGGCAUGGUGGCUCAUGCUUGUAAUCCCAGCGCUUUGGGAGGCCAAAGCAGAAGGAUUGCUUGCAUCCAGGAAUUCUGGCACAGCUUGGGCAAUGUAGUGAGACCCCAUCUGUACAAAAAGUCAAAAAUUAGCUUGGUGUAGUGGUGUGCACCUGUAGUCCUAGCUACUCGGGAGGCUGAGGGAAGGAGGAUCGAUUAAGCCCAGGAACUUGAGGUUGAAGAGCGCUCUGAUUGUGCCACUGCACUCAGCCAAGGUGACAAAAAAAGGCCCUGUCUCCAAAAAAGAAAAAAAAAUAAGGGCUUUUUUGCUUUAUUAUAUUUUUUUUUAGAGUACAUUCAUUAGUCUUAUAAUCUAUGCUUUCAUUUUAGUGUCUAUUUACUUUUAUUUUUAAUGCAAUUUUUUUUUGAGACAGGGUCUCACUCUGUUGCACAGGAUGAAGUGCAGUGGCAUGAUUUUGGCUCACUGCAGCCUUGACCUCUUGGGUUCAGGUGAUCCUCCCACCUCAGCCCCCAGGUAGCUAGGACUACAGGUGUGCACCACCACACCUGGCUAAUUUUUUGUAUUAUUUUGUAGAGAUGGAGUUUUGCCAUGUUGCCCAGGCUGGUCUUGAAUUCUUGGGUUCAAGCAAUCCACCUGCCUUGGCCUCCCAAAGUACUGGGAUUAUAGGCAUGAGCCACUCUGCCAGGCCUCUAUUUUUAGUGGUUGAUAGCUAGUCUCAGUGUAGCUUUACUCGUGUUUUUUGAGGAAACAUUGCUCUAUGCACCAGAUUCUUUCUUUUUUUCUUUUCUUUUUUUUUUUUUUUUUUUUUGUCACAGGAUCUUGCUGUAUUCCCCUGGUUGGAGUGCAGCGGUACAAUCAGAGCUCACUGCAGCCUCAAACUCCUGGGCUCAAGUGAUCCUCCCCCUCAGCCUCCCGACUAUCUGGGACUACAGAUGCAUGCCACCAUGCCUGGCUAACCUUUGUAUUUUUUGGAGAGAAGGGGUCUCACUACAUUGUCUAGGCUGGCCUCAAAUUCUUGGUCUCAAGUAAUCCUCCUGCCUUGCCCUCCCAAAGUGCUGGGAUUACAGGUGUGAGCAAUCAUGCCUGGCCUCCUUUAAUUUCUUUCUUUUUUUUUUUGUUGAGACGGAGUCUCGCUCUUUUGCCCAGGCUGGAGUGCAGUGGCACAAUUGUAUUUUUAGUAGAGACGGGGUUUCACCGUGUUAGCCAGGAUGGUCUCGAUCUCCUGACCUCGUGAUCUGCCUGCCUUGGCCUCCCAAAGUGCUGAGAUUACAGGCGUGAGCCACCGCGCCCGGCCGGCCUCCUUUAAUUUCUUAACCAUAAAUAUCCUCCCCCCACUUUUAUUAUGGACAUUCUGAAGCACAUAAAAAUAGGGAGCAUAGUAUAAUAAAUUUGUACAUAUUUAACACUCAGCUUCUAUAAUUAGAAACAAAUGGCCCAUCUGGUUUCAUCUAGGCCUCUUUGCUAUCCUUUCAUCUCCAACUGGAGUAUUUUAAAGCAAAUUCUAGAUGACAUUCUGCUGAGCAUUUCUGCCAGAAUUACACCUCUUUUUACUAAUGUGAAAAAAUGCCCAUGAUAACUGUAAAAUACGUGUGUCCUAUUUAGGUGUCUAAACACUUGAAUGUCACAGUAUUAAGGCCUUAAAAUAUAGCUUAGAUAUAUUUUUCUAAAUUAAAAGACUUUAUUUUUUAGAUAUACAGAAAAUUGAGCAGAAAACAAUGAGUUCCCAUAUACCUUCUUCAUCCCAACAGUUUCCCCCUCAUUAACAUAUUGUGUUAGUGUGGUACAUUUAUUACAAAGGAGUGAAUAUUGAUAUAUUAUUAUUAACUAAUUUUAUAGUUUACUUUGUGUUAUGUAUUCUAUGGACUUUAACAUGUGUAAUGACAUGUUUCCCCUAUUACCAGUAUCAUACAGGAUAGUUUCACUUCCCUAAAAAUCUUUUAUGUUCUACCCACUCCUUCCUCCUUCCCUCUCCCCACUCCUCCCUCCCUCCAUCUUAAGCCCAUGGCAACCCCUGAUCUUUUUACUGUCUCCAUCAUUUUGCCUUUUCCAGAAUGCCAUGUAGUUGGAGUCAUAUAGUAUGUAGCCUUUUCAAUUGGCUUCUUUCACUUACCAGUGUGCAUUUAAGGUUUCUCCAUGUCUUUUUGUAAUUUGAGAAGCUCAUUUUUUAAAAAUUUUAUUCUUUUAGAUUGUUGAACAGAUAAAUACGAAACUGCCGUCAUCAUUUGUAGAAAAACUGUUUAUACCAUCAUCUAAACUACUAUUCUUGCGUUAUCAUAAAGAAAAAGAGGUUGUUGCUGUAGCCCAUGCUGUUUAUCAAGCAGUGCUCAGCUUGAAGAAUAUUCCUGUUUUGGAGACUGCCUAUAAGUUAAUAUUGGGAGAAAUGACUUGUGCCCUAAACAACCUCCUGCACAGUCUACAACUUCCUGAGGCCUGUUCUGAAAUAAAACAUGAGGCUUUUACGAAUCAUGUGUUCAAUGUAGACAAUGCAAAAUUUGUAGUUAUAUUUGACCUCAGUGCCCUGACUACAAUUGGAAAUGCCAAAAACUCACUAAUAGGGGUGAGUCUUUAAUUGUAAUGACUUUGUUUUAUCCACAGUUAAGCCUUUUCUCAUUACAUAUUUAUGUAUUUCACUGUCAUGUCAAGAUGUCUGCAGAAUCACUGUGUGUAACAAACAGCCAUAUUUAAGACAUGCCUGGAUAAAUAAAAUUGGUAGGAAUGUUUUCUUGCCAUUAUA
rnacentral:sRNA from 1 species